UCCCCGGUGCCUUCUUCAUCCCCAUGCAAGCCACAAUACCCACUUGCAUGAUAGUCAUGCAGUAGCCAUGGUUUUUAACUUGAAUAUUUAAUAAAUGUUUGCUUGUUGAAAAGAUUGUUAUCGUUGUUCUGGUAAUGUUCAGAUUUGCAUGUUCACUUUUGUGCUAUGUUGUUUUGUACUCUGUGAUCAUGUUAUACCUGCUAGUAUUACCUUUCAAAUGUUUAUGCUUGUUAGUAGUACAUGCUGAUGUUGGAGAUGGUCAUGCUAGUCAGUGUGCCUUGCUCGGUGAAUAUGAGUUAUUGUUGAUAUGGUGGAAAGUUACGUGAUACUCUCAUGGCGAUGUUGAUAUCAUGUUCAUGUAUUGUUGUUGGCAUCAUGUUAUGUUAUCAUGGCUCAACAUAUUUGCAUUCAAGUUAACCAGAUUAAAUUGAACUUGAACACCUAUUGGUUGAGUCAUGGUGCCGCUGAAUCGACGCUGACCAGUGUAACCACGCUUACCGGUAUGGGACGGUCCUAACUGGGUCUAUUGUUGUGCCUCUCGCCGGUGCCUCCAACGAGGGAAGGUUAUGGGCGCGUGCUACCCUGAUCAGGUAUGCGGAGCAUAACCUUGUGUGCCCAUUGAUGAGUUAGUUUUUGGAUCCGUGUACCAGUGUGGGAUGGGCCACGAUGGUGGUCGUUGUGUCUGGAGGUAGGCACGGGGCCACCCAUGACUUAGCUCAGUGAGGAGUGAGUCGGAGUGGCCGGGAGAGUGUCAUGGCAGUAGGACGGUUUUGUCAGAACGCUGUUGGUCCACCCAAAUGGGAGUGCGAGGCCAUGGGUUCCGUAGUGUGGGCACAGUGUACUAACCUAUGCAGAGUGUGUAUUAAAUCUAUCGAUAGCCGCGCCCGCGGAUGAGGGCCCAGGUCAAAAGUAGGUCACACCAUGAGUCAACAGUAAUAAGAAUAAUGUGCUUAAUAACAGUGAGAAAAGUGGGUUGUGAUCGCCGUAAGGAUCACGGGCCAUGUAGUGGUUUGGUUGUGAUCACCGUAAGGAUCACGGGCCAUUUAGUGGUCGGGUUGUGAUCGCCGUAAGGAUCACGGGCCAUGUAUUGGUCGGGUUGUGAUCGCCAUAAGGAUCACUAUGGUAUCGAGGAUACUGAGUUGUUGGAUAUUCGUGAUGUUGUACAAGAAUCGUGGGUAAAGGUCAAGCUCCUUGUGGUCAUUUACUGAUUAGUGCGGUAUUUUUUAUACCAAGCUUGAUUUGAUCCUGAGAUGAUCGUGUGAUGUCCGAGGUUGGUAAGUGAUGCAUGUGUGGGUUACGAGGUAGCCCGAGCAGGAUAAGUGGUGCAUAUAGUGGUUUCAUGUUGCAUGGUAGUAUUGUCAGAUUAAUAUGUUCAUGUUGUGAUAGCUGUAUCAUGUUUAUGUUGGUCAUGCCAUGUUGUUCUGAUGAUAUCAUGAUAAUUCCUGUUUAACCUGUAAUUGCCAUGCUAUUGUUUGUCUUGAAUGCUUCUGGUUAUUGUGAGCUUGCAAGUACAUUCAAUGUACUAACCUGGCGUGUCAUGCCAGUUUGCAGGUCAUGCCGGAUUUAAUUGCUUGCUUGUCGUGGUUUCCGUUCGUGCGAGCUAGGAUAAGCAUUCCAGCCAGAGUCCCUAUGGAGUGGAGUUCACCACCGUCUUUGUUGUUCCGCUGCUAGAGUUCUUCCGCUGCUUCAUUUUGUUCUGCUGCUUGCGUAGAGCAACUGAGGAUGGCGUAGUGUCGCCGUGCCGAUGUUAUUCAUUGUAAUACCGGAGACCUUGUAUUCAUAUUUGUGUAAUAAUAGAAGGCUAGUUUGUUCUAUGCUAAGCAGUGUCGUAUUCCAGAAGACUUCUCCUCAAUCUCUGGGCUGGAAUACGAGGCGUUCCGAUUUUCUCUGAGCCGGGGUGCCAUAGGCUUGGUAUCAGAGCCGGUCUGGCUGUAGGACGCCCUAGACCGUGCGAACGUUAGAAAGCGGUAGUAUAGACCCCAGUUGGUUUGUUGCAAUUGAUUGCUGCAUUUGUUUGUCGCAUAGCAUGCAUAUAGCCUUAGUAUCUAUGAUAACGGUUUAUCUGGUGAGUGUAGCUAGCAUCGGUUCGGAUCCACUACAGCUCAACCUCUGCAUUUCCCCAGUCCCUUUUUAUUUCGGUGUUUGGUGUCAUUUCUGUCCCAGUAGAGUCAUGCCAAGUGAUCCCAACACUGUUUGCAAAAAUAGUGCUCAGGUAUCGCACUGAUGUCUUUCUUUCAGUCCCGUCUAUCGUUUUGGUGAUGGACAUGUUUCUAUCCCGGAUGGUUCUUUUAUUUUGUCAUGUUGGCAACCCUUAAUGAUCUCAGUUAUCAAGAAAGGGCAAUGUCAGCAGCCUCAGUUUUUUUCCCUGCAAUCCUACUUCUUGGACGAAUACGGAUCUUUUUCCGUCCGCUUGAUAAUAAUGUGGUUGCGACCUUCGUGUCCCACUGCAUGAUUACCAAGUACGUCCUCGUCUCCGAGCUAGUUCAGGUUGCUAUCUGGCUAAGCUAGAACUUGGUGUAGCGCUGUUUACAUCAAUUCUUCCACACAUUUAUUCGUCCUUGUGCACAUCGUCACAACAUGUUAGAUCGUAGUACCGGAGAUUCCGUGAAAUUUGUGUGCUUAGGUGUGCAUGCAUAUUAUUGUGUGAGUAGCAGUAAUAUGUGAUGAUUGCUUGAUUCAUUAUAUUAGUAGUAUGCUUGUGUGCUUUUGUUUCAGUCGUUUCUGUUGUUCCUUUCUUUGGGCCUUCAGUGUUACAAAUUUUUCCCCUAUUAAAGUUGCUCGUCAGCCGACACUGGACCGGAAGAGUCAGCAAGAAAUGCUUAUAUUUGGAAACUCAACAAAACAGAAUGGAAUUAUCAGCACACAACAGUAAAUUGGAAUAUCUCGUCUGAAUGCAAAAGAAAUCCUGGAUGGACCGUCAGUAUCAAGUUUGCAUUAGCGUGCACUCAUCACAACUAAAUGAUUAAAUCAGCAAGAAGAUAAAUUGUGUGCAAGGUUGGCAGAAGAUUAUCAAAGAUGGUUGUGUGGAAAUCGGUCCGCAUAUCACAAUAAGAAGCUUCUGGUGUAAGCAACCCAAUCUUCCCUGGCAGAAUACCAGAGAAGUUUCCAAGGCAAGAUUCAUCUAUUUUGUUCAGUAUGAUAUAUGGAUGAUUUCUCGCACAAGGUACUCUGCGUUCUUCAGUAAGCAACCGCAAAAGCUUCCAGCAUAAGGUACUGAGUCUUUCCCCAGCAAAGUCUUUAAGGGGGUAAGCUUCUGAAGCACGGUACCCAGUCUUCUUCAGCAAGCUGUCCGAUGAAAGUUUCGAGCACAAGCCAGCAAAUAUUCCUCAGUAAGACAUUGGUACAAGGUAGUACGCUGUGAAUUGACAGCAUAUGGCAGUGAAUCCCAAGAAUCAGAUCGGCCACAUUUUGGUCAAAAUCGAGAAUCAGUCAGAAUACACGUCUGUCUCGGAAUCAGGUCCUCAUAGAUAUGCAAUGAGCAUACCAUCAAGAUCUUACAAGUCACUCGGAUGAGGAUCUGAUAACCUCGUGAGGAUGAUUAAGAGAAGAAAGCCAGUAUACACCGCAGUGUGACAAAGGAUUAUGAGGACUGACGACAUCAAUGAGCUCAAUAUAAGUACCCGUGAACCUGGAAAAUGAUCCUGAUGAGCCCUUGUCCCUUUUUCUCCAAUGACGGCACCACGCCUGUGAUCUGAGCUGUUUCUAGCUAUCCAGGGUGGAUGCCGAUUUUUGUUUGUCUCUUCAACAACUGUCACGAGUCUGAGCUGCUUUUCGGCCGUCUCGUAUAGUUGCUGAGUUUCUUUUUGUGACAGUAGCCCUAUAGCUGCUUUUUGGCUAUUUUAGGGAGCUGCCACCUUCUUCUUAUCGACCCGGUCUCAUGCUCUGAGCUGCUGUUUUGGCCGUCCUGAGCCGUGGUUGGGUUAUUCCAGUAAUGUCCCAGAUCUGAGUUGUAAAGACCGUUCUGGUGGCUACUGAUUUAUUUGCCGAUUUCUUGCAAGGGUUUCGGAUGAUCAUUUCCCAAGGAUUGGAACUUGAGAGGUCUUGAACCUGCAAUUUAAUAGUCUACCUUAUCAGAAAAAUGAGGAUAAGCUACGAUUGUCGAAAAAUUGCACCGACAGUACCUAUGGUCAUACAAAGAAGCUAUAUGACCCAACUCUUUCAGCCAAAGAUCCAGACCAAGAAAACAAUAAUGAAGGAGCAAGACCAGUGACGCAGGUAUGAAAAUUGUUGCACGACCCACAUGGUGCAGAUCCCCCUGACAGUCUAAAUCAGUAUUAAUCCACAUGGAUAUGUCUAUCACAUGAGUAAUCGGCAUGAGGAAUAACAGUCUGGAAGCAUGAGUCCUCACUUAUAUGAAUCAUCAUGGAUAACCUGUCGUGAACGAAAUUUUUCUGUCAAGUCUGCAGAUAUUGUCAUACAAGCCAAACACUUUAUGUUGGCCGCGACAGGAGACAAUCAAAUAUUUGGUACGGAUCCAAUACUCACAACAGUGGAACCAGUUAAGAUGAUUCAGAAACUUCUGCGAAGAGUCAAAAUCUAUCAGGAAACGGUUAUGUUUUAACUCACUGUUUGGAACCCAAAGGACUUGCAUUUAGUGGAGAAACCCAAUGCAAUGAGUCAGAACUUGAGUUUUCAUCAGAAAAUUCUGAUCAUCAUUACAUGAAAGGUUGUCAGUGCCGGGUGGCACACCCAACGGAAAUGACUUUUGGAUUUGAGAGACGGACAUAUAUUCCGGUCGUGAUAAUCAAAUCACACUCAGCUAGUCAGCAGUUCUAAAAAGAAAUUGGAGCCUAUAUAAGAAUGAGCAAGCUAGGUAAGGUCUGUCAGAAUGUGGAUACAGUAAAUAAAACCACCCCAGGGCCAGUCAGAUAAAAUUUAGUGGGAACAACAAUAAAGGAAAAAGGAUACCCGAGUUGGAAACAGUUUCCUUAAGUCAAAAUAUUCAUACUAGUUCCCUGAGCAACCAAAUCUCGAGGACGAGAUUUCUUUAAGGGGGUAAGGUUUGUGACAACCUGGUUUUUGGCCCUUUCUUUUUCUUUUGUUUUUCCGAGGUUUUUGCGUGAGUUUUUUUUCCGUGGCUUUGUGGUCUGGAAACUAAAGAAGAUGCCCUCUUCUUUGUUUCCAGAGUGGCUUGUCAUUCCCAAAUCUUUCCCUAGACCCUGUGAUUUCCAUCCUAGCACAAAUCCCAAUAUUCUUUUUAUUGGGAAUAUUCCUUUUCUAUCAAAGGAAUAACUCCAAUUGCCCUAGGUUGUGAAGCAAUCUAUAUUUCCAUCACUCCAAAAAUUCCCAAAUAAUUCUCAUAAAUUGUUUGGGUCAUAUCUUGCUCAAAUAUGGCAAAACUUUUCAUUGCCAUGUUCAAAAAUAUCCUCCAAUAAUUCAUUUCCUAUUCUGCCCCAAAUGGCACUUUGUGAAGGAAGUGUCAUUUAUAUUUCUCCUAUUGACUCCCAACCUUUUUGGGCAUGUUUAUAUGUCCAAAUAAUUGCCCCAUGCACAAGUUCAAAAAUAAUCUUCCCGUCGCCGUCGUCUUCCCUCCUGCGCCCCCUUGGCCUCCUAUGCCCCAUGAGCCCCUCCCUGUGCGUCACUGUCGCCUUCCCCCGAGCCCAUGCGUGAGCACACGCGUCCGCGGCGCUGGACACGCGUCGCCGGCGGUGCCAGCCCAGCCUCCCUCUCGCCCGACUAUAUAUAGCCCUCCCCCGAGCCCCUCGAGCUCACCACCAGCCUCACACCACUCCCAGGAACCCGCCUAGUAAUUUGCCUGCGCGGGAGAAGCCCUCUUGCCCCCCCUUUGUCGCCAUGGCCGCCGCGGCCAUCCUCUCGAAUUCGGCCAAGUCAAGCUCCUUCUCCUCCUUCUACCACCACCAGAACUCCACCCAGUCCUCGAAGACCCUCCCUGCCCUCUUAGCCCAUCGCUGGAGCCGUUGUUGCCGUCAUCCCUGUAGAUCGCCGCCGCCCGAGCCGGUUCUGUCCCCUCUUCAUCGUGGCCACCCUGCUCCUCUCCGGCGUUUCCUCUGCGCGGGGAUGGAUGCGGCUGUCCACGCCGAGCCCGCCGGUGGCCUCCGUUUGGCCGGAGGUGGCCGGAGUCGCCGGGGCCAGCGCCGGCAGCGCCCCUGCCUCUACUUCGGUCGGGCCAGGUAGAGGAGGAAGAAGACGAAGGCGUUGACCAGGAGCAUGGGUCCCGCGACCCCACCUGUAAGCCUCUAAGCUGCCGGCCCCGCGUUGACCAGUCCACGCCACGUCAGAUAAGUGAAGGCGCAUUUCCACUUUACGUUUUCACUGAUCGAAAUCGUAUUUCUAACUUUGCGCUUCUGCCUUAUCCACUCAGGGACCCGACUGUGAAUAUAAUUUUUUACAGAAAAGUCACUGAACUUCAACCCCUCAUAUCUCUUUAACCGUAACUCCAAAUGAGGUGAAACCAACGCCCACUUCUUCAUUUCGUCGAGCCCGUUCUGUUGGUCACACUUUCACUAUGGUUUGACACUAUGAAAAUGACCUUUAUGCCCUUGCCCGUAUUCAGCCCCCUCCGAGAGAGAAUGUUUUUCGGUGUUUCGUUCUGCGACUCCAUCGCACUUCUCCCCGGCGCCUUCUUCAUCCCCAGGCAAGCCACAAUACCCACUUGCAUGAUAGUCAUGCAGUAGCCAUGGUUUUCAACUUGAAUAUUUAAUAAAUAUUUUCUUGUUGAAAAGAUGGUUAUCGUUGUUCCGGUAAUGUUCAGAUUUGCAUAUUCACUUUUGUGUUAUGUUGUUUUGUACUCUGUGAUCAUGUUAUACCUGCUAGUAUUACCUUUCAUAUGUUUAUGCUUGUU
rnacentral:lncRNA from 1 species